AUUAUAAUAAAACUAGUGAAUCCACCCAACAGCGAGGCACCACCACCAUUCUACAUUCCUACCUCCUCCUCUCCACAGCACGCGGCCAUACAAGAAAGGAAUUGUGCUCCCCAAACACGUUUUCUCCCAAUCUCGCGCACGACCUUUAGUCUCCAUUGCACCGUUUUCACAAAUCAGCAUCUCUGUCGUGGCAAGCUUUAAAUCAUAUUUUUCAUCUUUUUCUUCUAUUUUUCGCUAUAAAACUCCCUUCCCCUAAUUCUUAACCUUCUUCCAUUGGCUAUGUUCUUAUGUAACUUUUUUGUUGUGGGUCUUUUCCUCUUUUGUUGGUCGUGAUUGUUUCAGGAGGUGAGAUGAUAAAUUUUUUGCUUCUUUGAAGGUGAGUGUGAACUUGGUUUGAUUCAUUCAAUUUUUGGUUUGUCUUUUGCUGCUAGUUAUAAGCUUAUUAGUUUCACAUGAUUGGAAUUUAACGAUUCUUUUGUUGUUGGUUAGGUUGCUUGUCUUUAGAAAUUAUUUGAGGUUUCUCUUGAAGUUUUAUUGCCAAUUUUGGAUUUGAUAUUAAUCUUUAGUUUCUAAGGUGAAUUGGUGAAAUUUGAAGUGACUUUAAUUUAUGUCCCGUUUGGAGUGGUCUUUAGUUUUAUGUCUAUGUUUUUUGAAAGUUUUAAUUUUGAGUUUUUAAUUUUUUUGUUUUAGUUUUAAUUUCAAUUAGGAGUUGAGUUGCAGUGGUCGAUGGUGAUGGUCGUGGUGGAUAGUUAAUGAUGGUGGCAAUGGUCAUAGGUAAGUGGUUAGCGACAGUGGUGGAUAAUAAGGGAUGGUUUCGGAGGUGGUGGCAGUAGUUUCACUUGAGUUUAAGUUUUUAUUUUUUUUCAGUUUUCAAUUUUCAGUUUUCAAUUUCAAUUAAAAAAAAUACUAUCACG
rnacentral:lncRNA from 1 species